CCUUUAUUUUUUGUAGUAUUUUUAUAUUUAAUGUUUUUAUUUUAUGUAGGUUACAAAAAAAUUAGUAGCAAAAGAGAGAGAUAUUAAAAGGAGGAGAAUUGCCAAGAAUUCCUUAAAGGAGUUAAGAAGGGAGGAGGAGAGGCAAGAGUUGAGAGGGGAGAAGGAGAGAGGUGAGUGGGGUGAGGAGUUAAAGGAUGACAUUAGUGAGAAAGAGAGAGAAGUGGAGGAGAAAGAUGAUUGAUAGCAAGGAGGGAGAGGAGAGA
rnacentral:lncRNA from 1 species